GCGUGAGGUCGGUGAAGGACCUCAGGCACACGGUGAAGUUGUUCAGGGGCUGCUCCAGCCUCGCCGUCACCUGCACGUGGGCGGUUUUGGACUCCUGGGGGAACACGAACACCGACCUGCCCAGGUCUGGGGGAGGGUGUAGGUGGCCACAGCCCUGCCCUGGAGGCUGGUGGCCGUGCAGGUGUAGGUGCCCAGGAACUCCUGGGGCCUGCACCGGGCUGGGGUCACUCGAGCAGGGGCACACGUGGGGCCCG